UACGGAGGGUGCGAGCGUUGUCCGGAAUCACUGGGCGUAAAGGGCGCGUAGGUGGCACGGGUGGUCGUCGGUGAAAGCUCAGGGCUCAACCCUGAGUCGGCCGGUGAUACUCCCGAGCUCGAGUGUGGUAGAGGCCAAUGGAAUUCCGGGUGUAGCGGUGGAAUGCGUAGAUAUCAGGAGGAACACCGGUGGUGUAGACGGCUUUCUGGACCGUAACUGACGCUGAGACACGAAAGCGUGGGUAGCAAACAGG
rnacentral:rRNA from 1 species